rnacentral:lncRNA from 1 species
AUCUAAUCUCUUAUAUAUACUCGCGAGUACUCACACUUUCAUUUCGUCUCAACUUCCUCUCCACUUCCUCUCUAUUUCGUAGCAAUGGUAACUCUCUUUAAUUCCUCUCUAAUUUGAUUAGUUUAGGAUAGAUUAGGUGGUUAGUGUAGAAAAUUUAGAUAGGUUUACGGAUUUUAUGUUAAUUAGUGUUGAUUAUGUGGUUAAUAUAGGGAAUUUAGCUAAAUUUAUAGAAAUUGUUAAUUAUAGAAUUUGUUAAUACUAUUGAUGUUAACUUCAAAGAUUAAAUUUUUUUGCAGGGCCUUCGAAAGAACAUGCUUACUCCCCAUUACAG